GAUGAGGUAUCCUGUUAGGUCCCUGAGAGCAGUGUAAAUGCCUGAAUACUAACAGAGGCUUCUUAAGAGGCUUGAGCUUCACUCUGUGUAACAGGUAGUCGACUUUCUGCUGCCUUCUGAUGAAGAUAUAGCCAGCACCAUGUCUGCCUGCAUGCUGCCAUGCUCCCCAGCAAGAUGAUAACGGACUGAACCUCUGAACUCUUCAGGGAGUUGAGACUUAGAGUCACCUGUCAGAGGUCAAAUGGACCCCAGCACCCUUGUCAAUCAACAGCCUAAGCUUCCCACCUCCUGCUUAUUCCUGAGGGAUUUCUACUUGGCUGACAGACACCACCCAGGAAUCAGCCGUGAAGUUCGAACUGCUCCAGACAGCCGUGAGCCCUGGACUUGGUGACAGCUGAUGUAAACCAGUGCAGCCAAUGUGAUGCUCCCUGUCUCUUCAGCUGGGUCAGCAGACCAGAUACUUAGGUUCUUCCGGACUAUUGACUGCUGUCUGCCAUCACAGGGCUCUCAGCUCUCCUGCUGCUAUUGAUUACAUCUGGCCCCUGAAUCGUUAAUAUCUUAACCAGAUAUGUCUAAGAGGUCCAGAGAGUUCCAUACAGUCUGGACUGCGAUGAAACAACCAGCUACCCCAGGAUGUGGCAGCACCCCAGCUUUCUCAAGGUCCCCCAGAGAUGGUCAAUGCCCCGAAAUCAUCAGGAAGUAAUCUUGAGAGCUUGACAUCCUUAUUCCCUAACCUGCCAUGCCUAACUCCUCACCUUUUUAAUAAUAAGUAAAGGUGAGAAUGUAAAAGAUUCAGGCAUUAUGCUGGCCUGCCCCUGUCACCUGGUCAGUCCAGGAUUC